GAGCAUUCACAUAACUAUGAAGCAGGACUAAUCACCAAUCCCACCAUGGGCAGGACAGCAGAGAUCGUCACUAUGCUAACUGCCAGGAAUAGGAAUCCACACACUUCCGCCCACUGCAUCCUGGCCUGAAGUGCUACCAGUGUCUGUUGGAGACACGCUCACAUGCAACAAUUUGGUUAGCAGGACAUUUCCAGGGUAUCACAGUAUAUUGAAAUAUUACAAGAAAGGUCCAUAAAUGCUGUACAUCCUCCAAUCUGUAAAUUGUUCAGCAACAGGAAGACAGUGAAAGAUAAAGACGGCAACUCACCAAGAAGAAUGUGUCAGUGAUUUCCCCUAAGAUGUGAUUGUUCCACAGAAGCAUUCUUCAGGGGAGUGGGUCUGUGCAGGCAGUAAGUGGGAAGAUCUUCACUUAGUGUGCCGUCCUUCCUCAGCUUCAAGAGAAUCCACUUGAAGGAGAAGUCCCAUAUAUUAUGUCCAAUGCUGUGAAGCAUCUUUUGGUGCCUUCAUUUCAUCCAACACCAAAAUCCUCAAUGGUGAAGAAAUCUAUAAAUGUAGUACUGACCUUGAGAAAAAGUUGAGCACAACUGCACCCUCAUGCAGCACUGGAGAAACCUAUACAUGUAAAGAAGGACAGUUUUCAUUUGACUCUCAGAGCUGAUUGUGUAUUGGCAAACAUAUUUUUCUGCCAUUGCUUAGGGAUAAGAAAUCUAACAGAAACAUCAAAUAAAAUACUGAAGAGAGACUGGGUUGCAUAGGCUGGUCUCAAACUCCUGGACUCAGGCUCAAGUAAUACUUGCCUCAGCCUCACAAAAUUCUGGAAUUACAGCACUAUUCUGAGUGUUGGAAGAUAUAGCAGUGGACAAAACUGAUAAAACAUCUCUGCCUUCAUGAAGACUAAUGAGGAGACAUGUGCCCAGUGACAAAGUUUAGAGUCAAGAACAGGAUGUCUGGCCUCACUUUGGAUAAUCUGGACCUUUUCUGCUGCAAGCAUACCGCUAGAUAGAAAAGAGGAGCUGUGAAACAUCUCCACAUUUCCCUUCCCUAGUGGGAAGCUUAUUGUUUCAGAGUCAAGAACUUGGUUCCAGGCUACAAUCCCAUGGCUACCAUUCUCUAACUGUUACUUUGCACUUCUAAGAUGUGUUUUUUUAAAAUAUGAUUAAUAAUGGUGCCUAACUUGUCAGGCUGUUGUGAG
rnacentral:lncRNA from 1 species